GGAUCUAACGAACGGCCCUGUCCUCGGGGGGUUUUGGCGGUGGCCGAAAGAGAGCGAGAGCGCAAGUCCAUUAGCAGGAGAGGCCAGAGGGAGAAGUCAGAGCCAAGCUAAACCAAUAUAGCGGAGGAUACGUAAGUCUAGUCAGCUAGGUGGAGUAGCGUCCAGGAGAGCUAAAGCGGCGCAGGAAGAGGAGACUAGGCUUCCUCUUAACGCAAAAGAACUUCUUAUUUCUCGCCACGACUUCGAUCAGUCUUUACCUUCAUCUAUGUGACUUCCUACUUAAGCUAGUACAACAAUUUUUCGUCUUUGAACGUAGGAGCUCUUGAUAUCUAAACCAUUUGGUUUAGCUCUUUCUUUAACUCGUCCGAUAGCCACGAUAGGUUCUUUUACCGUGUCUAUCCCUACGACGUAGUUUGGACUUGGUACUUUAAGAAUGAUUAGACUUCUUAUGCGACUUUCUCAACCAAGGUCACUUCGUUGAACUCUCGACGGUCUUUCUUUACUUGUGACGUGAGCCGUUCACCCAUUUCUGGUGGCUCUUUAAGAAGUAGUUACUAUAAAGUUUUCGAAUGUUCUUACAGCUGUACCUUGGCGUACAUGAAUUACUCUAAUAACGUUUGGUAGAUAUGGCCCUCCGUAAUAAACUGUAUCCACUGUUGAAAGAACCUCUCCGGUCAACGAAUCGUAGAUAUUUUGACUUUGUUGACAAAGUCCUCUACAUACUCUAAAAACCACGCGACGCCUGACUCUUUAGACUCGGACGAGACUCAACCCGUUACUUUUUAGUACUACGUGAUGACGUUUUGCUAAGGACAGAGCUUGAAUUCGAAGUGGUCAACGUCAAACAACUCUAUGAGUUCGUUCCUUUUUCUCUACUCCGAGAAGUCAUACGAUCCUGUAUGGACCGCGGUAAACGAUGGUAUGUGUUCCUACAUUAGGUCUUCGACUAUCGGAGGUAUAAUACCCGGCCCGCGGAUCUGGUCAGUGGUAUAUGUCUCAAGAAUCAUGGUUGAUUGACCCUCUUCGAUCGACUCCUCAAGCGAGUUGUCAAGACGUUAGACUUCCCAGUUAGGAGGUGUCCAGGAUACCCGUACUGUCAACGUCGACCUCGACUUCACAACGGUUAAGAAGAAUUUGACUACUGCCAUGAUUGACGUUUUUCCCUCACCGUGAGAUACUUCCUUAAAGGAAAGGGUAACCUGGAGGCGUCCCUAAAAGUCAAGGUGAGUCACAAGUAGACAGGACACGAAGCACUCGUUCCAUCACUACUAUUAGGAGGUUACGAAGAAGGUACACCCGUACAGAACAGCUUCGUCAGCUGACACUUUAAUAGUUUCUCGUCGAGGGCCAGAAAGUUUACGGGUAUAACGGGCAAGCUUCGUAACCGUAGACUCACAUUCGCCGAAAUAUAGACUCCUAAAGAACGAGAUACUAACCGGUAAACACACGUGGUCGGAAACGAUAGAGAAAAGGACAGUUGCCACGAUGCAAGAAAAUAGUGGAGGGACUAUUACAGUUUAAAAGCAACUGUGAACAUUUCCAUUCUGCAAUAUGAGUCCCACGAGUUGAGACGAGUACAGAACAUAUAUCUCAUACUUUCUCUACAUUAUUCUUGUGUAACCUACUAACUAAGAGAAAUAUCCCGGUACCCCACUAAAUUGACACAAACUAACUGAACCUUCACGGUCGAACAAAAAAAAUCUCUUUACUCGAGAGAAAAAAUCCCUUCGUUAAAAAAAUUAGUCGAGGAAAUUCGCUACCAUAAUUGAACACUACGAUUGGGACACAAACCAACGCGACAUCUAAGAACUUUUCGACAACACCUUUUCGACCUCCAACAAACCAAUUUUGCUGAUCCAACAAACCAAUUUUGCUGACUUUGACAUCUAAAUCAACACUUAACAGACAUCACAGGGACCCCAGACUCACUUAUACAAAUAUACGAUUAACUGGCAUUUCGCCACUAUACAUGUAAACAUCCAUUAACUUG
rnacentral:rRNA from 1 species